CAACGAUGCAUAGCCGACCUGAGAGGGUGAUCGGCCACACUGGAACUGAGACACGGUCCAGACUCCUACGGGAGGCAGCAGUAGGGAAUCUUCCGCAAUGGGCGAAAGCCUGACGGAGCAACGCCGCGUGAGUGAUGAAGGUCUUCGGAUCGUAAAACUCUGUUAUUAGGGAAGAACAUAUGUGUAAGUAACUGUGCACAUCUUGACGGUACCUAAUCAGAAAGCCACGGCUAACUACGUGCCAGCAGCCGCGGUAAUACGUAGGUGGCAAGCGUUAUCCGGAAUUAUUGGGCGUAAAGCGCGCGUAGGCGGUUUUUUAAGUCUGAUGUGAAAGCCCACGGCUCAACCGUGGAGGGUCAUUGGAAACUGGAAAACUUGAGUGCAGAAGAGGAAAGUGGAAUUCCAUGUGUAGCGGUGAAAUGCGCAGAGAUAUGGAGGAACACCA
rnacentral:rRNA from 1 species